rnacentral:lncRNA from 1 species
AUACGGAGUUUCUUUCUCUCGCCCAGGCUGGAGUGCAGUGUCACAUUCACAGCUCACUGCAGCGUCAACCUCCCAGGCUCAAGCAAUCUUCCCACCUCAGGCUCCUGAGUAGCUGAUACUACAGAUGUAUGCCACCACACCUGGCUAAUUGUAUUUUUGUAGAGAUGGGGUUUCGCCAUGUUGCCCAGGCUGGUCUUGAACUCCUGCGCUCAAGAGAUCUGUCUGCCUCAGCCUCACACAGUGCUAGGAUUACAGGUGUGGGUCACCGUGCCCGGCCAGGAGAUUGAUUUUGACUAAUCAGUUUUCAUCCAAAUCCCAGGAGGCCCAUAACUUGGCAAGCGCACCCAGAUAGGCUUUCACUAGGCACAUGACCAAACUUGACGUUCCCUGUUGUCCAAACCGGCUGGGCUGGCCCUAAAAUAACCUGUAAUUCAACAUCUGAGGGACUCUGCAGGGAUGUGUGGCAACCCAUUUCACAUACCCUUUACCCUAGAGCAUGUAUAUUUCUGCCAGGGCUUCAUUCAGAGAGGAGCAGUUAGUUGCCUUGCUGGACAGAGUGGGACAUGUGUGACCUUAUUAGGGGGCAGCAGUGGAGAGUGCCGGCACUGCCAUUUUCUAGCUGUGUAACUCCAAACAAAUGCCUUGACCUCCCUGGUACUUCAGUUUCCUCAUCUGUAAACUUGUGAUAAUAUUAAAACCUUCAUGGAUUAUCGUGAAGACUAACUUUUUUUUUUUUUUUUUGAGACAGAGUCUCGCACUGUCACCCAGGCUGGAGUACAGUGGCACGAUCUUGGCUAACUGCAACCUCCGCCUCCCAGGUUCAAGCGAUUCUCCUUGCCUCAUCCUCCAGAGUAGCUGUGAUUACAGGCGCCCGCCACCAUGCCUGGCUAAUUUUUUUGUAUGUUUAGUAGAGACAGGUUUCACUAUGUUGACCAGGCUGGUCUCAAACCCCUGACCUCAUGAUCUGCCAGCCUCAGCCUCCCAAAGUGCUGGGAUUAUAGAUGUGAACCACCACGCCUUUCCACGAGGACUAACUUUAAAGCUCUUUACAUAGUGUCUGUCACAUGGUGCACAUCCAUUUACCAUUACUACUACCACUGCCACCUUUGUUCCAAAUUUCAUGCUGAGCCUAAAGAACACAGAUUAUUUUCUCAUAGUGAUUGAACUGACUUGGAAGAGCCUGUCUGAAUUUGGUAACCACGUUUUCUCAGAGAGAAAGUCUGAAAUCUGGUUUUUCUACUGCUGACUCACCUUUUAGUCUUCCAGCUGGCCUUACCUGUUUCCCUGUCUGUAAAGUGAACUUAAGUAUUUACCUAUAAGG